ACUUGAGGUGGGUUUUUAGUACGUAUGCGUGAUUACUUCGUAAUCAUGAAUCGUGCAUGCUAGUGGGGUUUGGCCUCCACUAGUAUCUUUGAAGAUUUUCCUUCCUCAGCGAUC
rfam:Drosophila persimilis strain MSH-3 cont1.021057, whole genome shotgun sequence.